AUGGAUGUCGCUUUGGUUGUGGAUGAACUGACGAAGCUUCUAGUUCAGGCAGCAUCGCUGAUAGCUGUGGUUUAGGCCUGGAUCCUGUUGGUCCAUAAGAGAGCUGUUCGUCGGAAUGUGAGACCUUGCAUCCAGUAUGGUCCAAUGUUAAUCCGGGAUCAAGAGAGGAUAGCGAAUCAGAAGUACAUCUACAACUGCAACGACACAGAGGCUCUGUGGAUGCUUCGAAUGAAAAGAAAACCUUUUGCCAGGCUUGUGCAGACGUUUAGGCAGGGGGGGUUGCUAGAAGAUAGCAUCCACACCACUGUGGAGCAAGUUGCCAUGUUCCUCCAUGUUGUUGGUCAUAACCAGAGGUUCGGGGUUGUACACAACACCUUCAGGAGAUCAAUGGAGACCAUCUUCAGGUACUUCAAGCAAGUGUUGUAUGCUGUUGGGGAGCUCAGAGGAGAGAUGAUCAGGUCACCAACUGGCCGGACUCCUACAAAGAUUCGCACUAGCCCAAGAUGGUAUCCAUACUUCAAGGUGAGCACUUGA
rnacentral:rRNA from 1 species